UACGUAGGGUGCGAGCGUUGUCCGGAAUUACUGGGCGUAAAGAGCUCGUAGGUGGUUUGUCGCGUUGUUCGUGAAAACUCACAACUCAAUUGUGGGCGUGCGGGCGAUACGGGCAGACUGGAGUACUGCAGGGGAGACUGGAAUUCCUGGUGUAGCGGUGGAAUGCGCAGAUAUCAGGAGGAACACCGGUGGCGAAGGCGGUUCUCUGGGAAUGACCUGACGCUGAGGAGCGAAAGUGUGGGGAGCGAACAGG
rnacentral:rRNA from 1 species